AAGGUUCAGUUUUAAAUGAGAGAAGAGGUCUGCCUAUGGCUUAGGAGCAAUUCUUCCUUUUUAUAAGAAAUAACAGGACCACAAAACCAUUCAUGGAAACAAAAAUAACAAGGCAACAAAUGUACUCAAAUUACCUUAAGACUACACCCUGUUUUUCUAUCUCCAUUUCCAGGCUCUCCUUAUCUUCUUCAAAAAUAGACAACUUCCACUCACUAUCUAAUUAGUAACCACCCUGGGUUUCAAGAAAUUGCACCUUAGACUACAUUGUCUUCCCAGUUCCACCCCAGUUCCCACCAGUUUUACUUCCCUCAGUAAAACACUAAAAAGAUAGCAUAAGUAACUACCCUCAAUAAUCACAGAGAAAAAUCUGCUUUAAAACCUACCUGACGAUAGACAAAGCUAAGAGUACAAAAAUGAAAAAAUUUCCAAAUACAUACCACCUAAUAUCACUUUCUUUUCCACACAUACAGCUACUAUUCACAUUAACUAGUCACCAACUUCCUUCUCUUCAGAACCAACUACAACUUUAAUUUUUCUUGGUUCCAUCCCUCACACUUGUAAAAAUCAAGAACCCAACAAACAAGCCUAAACAAAAUGAUUAGAAAGUCCAAAACUUACUCAUGUUCUUAACCCAAGUUUCAAUCUUUCAAAAUUCUCACUGUAUAAAAAAACAAUCUUUCAAAGUUUUACCAUUAAAAACACAGAUAGCAAGAAGAAAGAUGACCAUUAAAGACACAGCAUCCUUAAAAAUAAAAACACAGAUGAACCCAUCCUUCUGUCUAACAACCAGGAGACAUGAUCUCUGCAAUAACAAAGCAAAAAAACAAGAGAUAUGGAGAGAGGUUAAAAGGG